rnacentral:rRNA from 1 species
UGAGGAAUCUUCCACAAUGGGCGCAAGCCUGAUGGAGCGACACCGCGUGAAGGAUGAAGGUCUAACGAUUGUAAACUUCUUUUCUGGGGGAGCAUAAUGAGAGUACCUCAGGAAUAAGGGACGGCUAAAUACGUGCCAGCAGCCGCGGUAAUACGUAUGUCUCAAGCGUUAUCCGGAAUUACUGGGUGUAAAGAGUUCGUAGGUUGAAUUGUAAGUCAGGUAUGAAAGACCGGAGCUCAACUCCGUGUUUGUAUUUGAAACUGCUUUUCUAGAAUUAGGGAGAGGUAAGCGGAAUUCUAAGUGUAGGGGUGCAAUCCGUAGAUACUUAGAAGAACACCAAAAGCGAAGGCAGCUUACUGGAACUAUAUUGACGCUGAGGAACGAAAGCGUGGGGAGCGAA